rnacentral:lncRNA from 1 species
CAUGUUUACACAUAUAUUGUCUGAAGCAAGACUGAAACUGGUUCUUCUUCAUUUCAAAUCCAGGACUCCAUGAAAACAGGCAUAUCUUCUAAGAUUUGACCAUUUCAAGGGGACAUGACUUACACAAGCUUGUCUCUUGGAAUAACUGAAUUUUUCAAGAUUUAGCUCAAGCUCCAUCUUCCUCAAGUUCUUCUUCUGAAUGUGGAUAGUGUUCUUUCUUCUAAAUCCCUCAGAAUUGUCCUGGAUCAUUGCAUUGCUACUGGUAUGCAUCUGGAAGAUGGAGGACUAUAGUAUAUAUAGAUUCAUGAGCAAACCUCUUCAAUUCAUCUAGGAAUGUCGUCUCUAAAAAAAAUCCAUAAGGAGACUACUGAUACCUAAUGGGAGGAACAGAGAAAUGAGAACUGAAAUAUUACCUUUAAAAUUAACUCAUUAAAUUCAUAUUAAAAUUUAAUAAUUUCUUUGUAAUACAGUUAUUUUUCCUUUAUCUGAUAUAGGUUAUUCAAUUAUCUUAACUUUAGUUUUUGUCCAGUGUAUUCACAAGUUCAUAGUUGUGUUUUGUAAGUUAUAAUGAACUAAAGUCUUCUACCUAUAUUUUAAAGUAUUUAAAUUAAUGUUUAAAAGGGAGCAGUUUUUGAAGAUUUCAGGUCCUUUAGAAGACUUGCUGGUGCAUGGAAGGGUCUAAAUUUACUAGCAGUUAGAUUAUGUACCUCUAAGAAGGAUGGUUGAAGAAAUAUCACAGGAAGCCACUGGUCACUUUCUUAUUGCUCAUCCAGAAACAAGAAUAUAAAAUGAAUGAAAAGAAAUGCUUUGUGAGAGAGGAAAAGAAAUGUUUCUAAAAUUAAACAAAACAACUUUAAAAGGAGUUCAAUAGAAAAAUGUUUUCUUGCCAAAUUAUAAUUCCUUUGAAUUUCAUUAUUUCAAUCCACUAGUUAAAAAUAGAUUUUUUAAAGUGGCUCUGGGAAGGAUUCCUUGCAUAAGUUAUUUUGUUUUAUAAAAGAUGGAAAUAUUUCUUCUAUUCUGCCACCAUUUGGGAAUUUUAUAAUAUAUAUAUAUAUAAAUCUACAAAAAGAUAAAACUUAUCUAUUCAAUACUAUAUUAUUUUUGUGUUCAGUAAAAGAAAAAUGCAUAGCAUGCAUUUCUGGAUGUCUUACAGCACCAAAAUUAUUUUGAUAAGGAAUCUUAUCUGGAAUAUGCAGAGUAGUAGUGUGGAUAGUGAAAACACCUUAGAAUCUGGACAUUAGUUCAAAUUCUGCCUCAUCAUACUGGGUGUUUGACCCUGGCAGGACUGUAACUUCUCAGUGCUCUAGACUAUUCCAGGCAACUAUGAAAGU